UGAACGCAAAAUUCUGAAAAGCAGGGAAGAAGCAAUGAUUUCGGCUUCUUUCUAGCCAAACCAAACGCUCCCUCAGUGCCCACAAGCGUUUUCACAACACUAUAAAUGCCACCACCCUCUUUUCAUUCUUACAUCACAGAAUAAAAGAGAAAACCUCACUGCACCUUCAACACUCUUUUCUUCCUUCUCUUUCUUUCUGCACUUUCUGUAGCCAUGGCAUCUCAAGCAUUCUCCGUCAACUUCUUCCUCGCUGCUCUCGUCGCAGGACUUUUCUUCGCCGUGGCUACCGCUGAAGAAUUGUCUCCGGCCCCGGCACCCGGACCUGAUGCCGGAGCAGGCGCUUCCGUGUCAAGCUCCAUGGCCGUGAUUGGAGCUUCGAUCGUGGUUUCAAUGUUCGCGAUAUUGAAGCAGUGAGUUUAUUUGAACGGUGAUCUGAUUGCGAUUGUGUGUUAUGGAAAGAGAGAAAGACAUUACGAUUUGAUGUAAACUGAACCAUUGUAGGUGUCGGUGAGAUGUAAGAGGAUUUCUAAUUCUUUUUUUCAUUCAUCAAUUAAUAUACUUUUAUUAAUUCUUUAUAAUUCAUCAUUAUUCUAAAUUCAUUUUUAUAUUUAUUUACUCUAUAUAAUUAAAAUGGUUUAUUUCUUAUAAUUAAUAAUUAUAUAAAAUCACUAAUAACAUUAAAAUAUUAUUAAGAAUGUUUAUUGCAAUCUUUAUCGAUGAAUAAACUUAGAGCCAUUACAGAUAUCUGCAGCUUCCUUACAGAUAUUUCAUUACAGAUAUUCUAAGCCACUGUGGCAUUUCAAAGCUAACGCAUCUCUUGCUUUAUAAUAUGUUGAAAAUUUAUUAUUUGACACUCACUUUUUUUAUUUUAUUUCAUUUUCCAAUUCCUUUUAAUAAUAAAAUGUUAUAUUUAACAAAUAAAAAAAGAAAAUUUUAAAAUAAAAUAAUAAUAAUAAUAAUAAUAAUUAUCAUUGUUACUAAAUGGUAAUAUAACGAAAAUAUAGUGUCAACAUUUUGCCGUAAUUAUAAAUUUACAAUAUAAUAUAAGCUAAUUAUAUAAAUGAGAUAUAAGUUUUGGCCUUUUUGUUUCCGUAAAAAAAAUAAAUUGAUAUGAUAAGAUUAUUAUGUUUUUCUAACUAAAGACUACAUCCAUAGUCUUAUAAGCACAUUUCUCGUUAGGAUAGGAUAUCGCAUUCUAAUACAUAUUUUUGUUCGUCGAAGACAUAUUCACAUUAGAUAAUUUAGCAAAAAUCAUCGUCUUAUAAGUAUAUUUCUCAUUAGGAUAGAUGUCGCAUUCCAAUACAUAUUUUUGUUCGUCGAAGACAUAUUCACAUUAGAUAACUUAGCAAAAACCAUCGUCUUAUAAGCAUAUUUCUCAUUAGGAUAGAUGUCGCAUUCCAAUACAUAUUUUUGUUCGUCGAAGACAUAUUCACAUUAGAUAACUUAACAAAAAAUGAUUGCAAUUCAUCACAAGUAACCUAAUCAUUGAAUCUAUGAAUAAAGGAGCUCAUAAUUGAUGUCCAUUCAAGUGAAGGUCCAUAAAAAAAUACUUUUAUAAAUAUUAUUUUAAUAAUACCUUGACUUCACUUUUUACAUUAUUUCAACUUUGACUUGAAUGAAUACUAACUUAGCAUCAAAUAAUCUUCUACAAACACCCCAUUAUUUAGUAGAAGACGAAAGAAGCUUGGAGAACUAGUAGUAAAUAUACAUGGAGUGGAAGAAGACUUUGCAGGAUGCAUUCGGUUUUGUAUAUACUUUAAACUCAUAUUAUAAUAUUUAAGAAUAAAAUUUAUAGCUAUUAUUCAUAUAAUAUUUUGAAAAUAAUCGAUGUUAAUGAUUUUUCGUGAUAUAUAUGUUAGACUCCAAACAGAGUUAUAAGGGAUUCAAUUUUCUUAUUGUGCAUCUUUAAAAACUUCAUUGAGAGAGAUAAUUCUACUUCGACUAUUUACACACUUAAGAAGAUCAGUCUCAUGGGUUUUUAUACUAUGGCAGCAAAAUAAGUUAAUCAAUUAAUUAAGAGAUGAAAAAUAAACAAUUUUGGAAAUUCAAGGUUAAAUUGAAAAAGUAAAACAUUUUAUUUUAAUUUUAUUAAUAUGCUACAUCUGUAUGUCUAUUUAUAUACAAUCCAAGAUUUAAUAACAAAUACAUGUAUUUCUUUAUAACAUUUUACUAAAAUAUCCUCACAAUUAAUAAAUUAAAUCAAGAAUGAGAUAAUUAGGAUGGUUAAACCGUUAAUUAAUAUGUUAAUUUAUAAGAGAGUAAAUUAGAAAGAAAAAGAAUAAACUAUAUAAAGUGAAAAAAUACAUUAUGUUAAGAGAUAGUAUUAUAUAGAACACUGAAUUUUUAUUUUAUUUAUUAAAGUGAUAAUGAUAAUAGUCACUCUUAUGAAACUAUAUUAUUUUUCAAAGGUUAGAUUUUAAAAAAUUCUAUUUAUUUAAAAAUGGAUUUCUACAUGAAAUCCUCACCAAUUAAUUUUAUCUGUAUGAUAAUAUAUAUUUUUAUAAUGAAAGCGAAAUUCAGAAAAAUAAACUAUAUAAGUACAAAACGAAAUGAAAAUUUAGAUUCAAUGUUCAGUGCUUGAAGAUGGCGACGAGCAUUGAAACCAAAAUGGAAGCUCCAACCACGGCCAGAGUGUUUGCAACAGAUCCCAUGACUCUUGCAGCCUUGGCUGCUUCGGGAGCUUCGGCGGUGGCUGUGGGGCCACUGGUGACUACGCCACCGGCAGCUUUUCCUGCACUAUCGGUUGUGGGAGCCGCCGCUGUUGUCGGAGAUACAGCGGCUGUGGCGGCGGAGGCAGUGGUGGCAGCAGCAAGGAAGAAAAGCGCGAGAAGGAGAACGACGGCGAUGGAGGUGAAGGAGAUUCGUUGGGAUGCCAUCGUGAAUAGAGAAAAAGAGAAUGAAUGUUUUUGAGAGGUGUUAGGGUUUUAUUUAUUUUUUUGGGUUUUCUGAAGAGAAAGGGAGGGAGAGGGAAGGUAUUUAUAGUGAUGAUAGAAUGAUGUUUGAGGGAAUGAAUGGUGGUGAGUUAGAGAUGGUUGUUUCCAUGUCCAUCUUUUCAGUUUCUUCUUAACUUUUUAGGGUUUUAUUCAUACCACAUGCAAUAAAAGAGGAGGUUCCACUCAUUCUCCUCUUAUACUAACAAACCCAAAAUAUUAGUGUCUUUCACAAAAUAUUUGGUUUAAUGUUAAUUCAACAACAAGAUUAAAGCACAAAUUAAAAUUAGAAAACUAAUUUUUAAAUUAUUGGAAACUUGAAAAUUUUUCCUAAAUAUUUAUAGAGAAUUGGUAUUUUAACACUUUGACACGUCAUGUAACAAAUUCAUUCAUUUGACACGCUAAUAUGUCAAUUAUUUAUAAAUUGAUGUAAUCUGAUUAGUUGAAAAAAAUUAUGAGUAGAAUCCACGUGUCACUUGAAUGAUAAAGUAAAAAUGACUGUCAUACUAUUAUUACUCAUAUUUAUAUAGGUUUAAAUCCUUUUUUGGUCCCUAAGUUAAGUUUUGAUGUUCACUUUAGUCCCGUUUUUAAAAAUGUCAACCUUUAGUCCCUAUGAUAUGAAAAAUGUAUCAAAUCAGUCCUCAUGACAACACUUAAUGAACAAUAAAUCACAAGUUUUCAUACCUAGGUAUCCUAUAUUUUGUGAUUUGUGAACAGAAGGUGUCACGAACAACAAAUCACUUAAUGAAAAACUUGUGAUUUGUUAACGAAGAGGACUGAUUUGAUACAUUUUUCAUAUCAUAGGGACUAAAGGUUGACAUUUUUAAAAGCAGGGACUAAACUGAAAAUCAGAACUUAAUUUAGAGACAAAAAGGGUUUAAACCUAUUUAUAUAUUGUUUAAAGACAAUAUUUAAAGUAAAAAAAUAAAUAAUAAAAACAUUCUCAGUGUUUUGUUAUAGAUAAAUUAUAUUAGAAAAAGUUUUAUCUUUAAGCAUUUUUGUUACCAAUAAUUGUGCACCGAUAAUACCAUAAAAAUAUAGGGAGGGUUGUCUUCUAAUUAAAGAAGUUGUUUUAAGCUGUUUUGCUAGCAAUAUAAUUUAAUGUAUAGCAGCACACACACUUAUAUAAUUAUAUUUUGGUUAAAUUACUUGCUUAAUCUUUGCAAUACAACUUGAUUUGGUUUUUCUAUGUAUUUUUAAAGUGUUUAUUUUAGUCAUUUAUUUUCGUUGAGCAUUUUUAAAUGUCGUCCUAGUGUCCAUAUCAACAAUAGGUUUGUGAAAAAAAAAACGAGCGCAAAUUUUAUAUUUUUUAAGAUUUAAAUUUAUUUUGAUCUUUUAAGAUUUAACAAUAUUUGUUUAAGAGAAACUACACAAUUCUCACUAGAACGAUUUAAUUAUUUUUUUAAAAUCUAAUAUUCCACAUCGUAUAAUAUACUGAUAGAGAGUUUGUUUAAAUCAUAUGAAAAUUAUAUCGGUCCAAAUGUUAUAAAUAGUAUGAGAUUUAUUGACAACAACAUUGUUAGAAGGAGUAUGAGAUUUAUUGACAUAAAAGAUGAGAAAAGAACAAUUAUAAAUGAUGUCUCAUAUAUGUAACCCUACUGCAAAAUCAGUCUUCUAACUUGCCUAAUUUGUUUUGGUUUUGAAGAAACCAAAGUGUAAAUCAAUAACAUUUUUGUUAAUGGUGUGAACUUAUGCGUCUUGGUUUAAAACUUUGUCUCGAUUAAAAAAAACGAAGUAUAAAGAUACAUUAAAUUUUUAAAGAUUUUCUUAAAUAAAAAAUUACACUCUUUUUUUAUUAAUUUAUCUCGUAAGGACAUAUGAUUUCCGUUAUAUGAUCAACCGAAGUCAUAUCAUCAUUUUGCUUUAGUUUUUUAACUAAGGGAAACUAUAUCUACUUUUAAAACUAACAUAUUUUUAUAUAUUUUUUCUAUAUAGAACAUAUGACUUCUGUUAUUUGACUAACUAAGGCUUAUGCUUUGGUUGGUAUGCUUUGGUUGUUUGACCAACCAAAGUCAUAUCCUCUUUUAAAUCGAACAUUUAUUUUUAUUUCUUUUCUAAAUUAGAUCUAUCUUCUUGGUUUUCUAAGAAACAAAAGCAAAUAGGUUAAUAAAAAUUUCAAAAUUGUCAUUGAAAUGUAUUAUUUUUAUUUUAUUACUAGACUUUAGACUUCGAUUUUACAAAUAACAAAGGUCAUAGGACACACAAUUUUCUUCUUCCUUCCUUUGUGAACCUUUGUGAACGCUAUUGUCACUACUCUAACACCCUCAUUGCUGCGUCCUUUACUGUCAUCGUCGCGCUACCUUUGUUUCUUGUUGUCGUUUGUGACACCCAAUUUCGUCCAGAUAAAUAAAAUUUAUUUUCAAAAAAAUUAAUAUUUUUUUAUAAAAAUAAAUAAUAAGUAAAAGAGAUAAAAAAUUAUUCUUUUUUAUAUUUUCUUUUUUAUAAAAAAUACCUAAAACUAACAUAAAAAGUGUGUGUUUAUGUUAUUUUAAAUUUAAAAAAUAGAUAAUAUAUCAAUUCUUCACUAUAACCAACAUAAUGUCUUUAAUUUUCAUCUUUCCCGUAUCUCCUCCUUGUCCUACACUUUAAUGUUGUGCUCACAUUAUUCUCCUCCCUAUCAUUAUUAUCCCUUUCGCUAUGACUCUCUUUUUCUCCCUCUCUUUGGUAGUCAUUUUCUUUCUCAUAGAGACCAUUCUCACUCUUGCAGACCCUUAGUGCUCUAAUAAUCACUCUCACUAAUGUUCGGUUUAGAGUUUGGAUAUAUUUCCUAUCUCGAGGGCACUUCAUAGGUUUCAGUAUUCGCCGUAGUGGUCUCGUCAUUAUCCUUCGUUGUUGUCUUCUUCCUCUCUCUCACUUCGUUUUGCUUCUUCCAAUUUCUAUGAAAUUAGUUAUUCAAUAGCAUAUGACUACUUGGUUGGUUUUUUGUCUAUUGAUUUAUGAAAUCAUCUAUCAAACACAACAAUGAAGAGGCAAAGGAAGCGAAGUUAGAGUGAAUGGCAACAAAGGUGAUAAAGGUUUAAAGGUAACGAGCAAAGGUGGAGUUAGGAUUUCAUGAAAUAUUUGGGAGUGAGACUUUCUAGGUUGGUUGUAUCUAAAACCAAUAUUGGAAGAUAAAACUUUCUAUAUAACCAAUAUAUAUUAAAAAAAACCUUUCUUGUACUAGUGAAAAGAAAAUGUAAAUUUAGGAAUUUUAUGAAAAUAUUUUAAAUAAGUAAAACGAUAGAAUUUGAAAUUCAUUCCAAAAAGAAAGUAAAUUGAAAUUUAAUAACUAGUCAAUUCUAGGGAUGUCAAAGUGAGCCAAUCUGACUCACUCGAGUUGACUAAUCAUGGGUUGAUCUUAAAAAAGGGUUAACUUAACCUAACUUACUUUAUGGUGGGCCAGAAUUUUUGUACUCGGCUUGACCCACAAGAAGUUAGUGGAUUAGUGGGUUGGCUCACUUAUGAACUUUUAUUUUUGUAUUUUAUUUUAUAUAUUUAUUAGUACAAUAAAAGUGGAUUGACUCAAUUUAAUUUUUAUAUUGGUGGAAACAAAUACAGUAAUUGAAAAUUAAAGUAUUAACAUAUAUAAAUUGACAAACAAGUAAAGUAAACAUCUAAACUAUUUAAAUAUUAUUGAAUAAUAUUUUGUACUUAAAAAAUCAAAUUGUGAACCUAUAUAAUUAAAAGUAGUAAAUAAUUGUAAUAGAAAUACUUAUAAAAAAUUAUAAAAUACUAAUAAAGUGUUGUUGGUGGUGGAUUACAAGUAAACUCACCUUCAACCUGGCUCAAACCCCUUUAACUCUUGGGUUAAGUGAAUUAAGCUCACUUUAUCACACAUUUAAAAAAACUAAAAUUUAUCCAACCUAACUCGAGUCAAACCCAUGGUGAGACAGGUUGACUCAUGUGUUAGAACCCAUUUUCACAUCUUUGGUAACUUCCUUUCUAUUACAAGUAUCAAUUUGACCCAUGAACUAUGGGUAAGCCCCCAACCAACUCUUAAAUAAGCCCCUAUUUUAUUGGCCCACCAAAUGAGAGGCCUUAAAACCCCCUAACUGAUGACUUGGGCCUAAGCCCAAACAAAAUUCAAUGGCUCAUUGCUCAUGGCAUGGCUAAAAAGCUACAAGAGGAACUUGAAGAUAUGUAUAAAGACAUCAAAGUUUUGUAUAUCAAGCCCAAUUGGCAGUUGGUGAACCAAGGAAAGCUCAUUCGAGCCCAUGAAGCCCAUUCUAGCUAUGGACUCAUCACGCGCCCAACGUCCUCAGGUGUGCACCCAACCUCCAUGGAGAGUUACCUUCUAUUGCAUGUGUAUUUUGUGCUUCAUAUGUAGCUAGCAUUAGUUUUCUGUGAUUGAAACGUGGCACAUGAUCCAUGGAUUGUGACUGAUGAUUUGUUGAGCAAUCUUUUUUGUGCAAAGGUGCUAAAUCAACUAUAAAUUCAACACCUCAUCCAUUGUAUUAACACUUUUGAUGCUUCUAAUAAAGAACCUCUGUUGAGCUCACUUUAGAAUUAUUUCUCCUUCAAGAGUCAUGGCUAGAGAGAGUGUUUAACCUCCUAUAGUCGCCUUCCCUAUUUAGGAAUCCUAAUAGGCUUUUGCUCACACCAUACACCACAUCACCUUCCCUAGUUAGGAAUCCUACUGGGCUUCUCACUAACACCCAAAGUUCCCUUUUUAAGUUGGUUAGGAUCAAGGCCAAUGUAUGUUUAAUUAACUCCUAAACACAAGACAUUCAGUGUAGGCUAACUUGGGUCAACCUUUAACCCUAGGCUAACUCGACUCUAUCUUUUGACUUGGUCAACAAGGAUCAACCUUCAGUUGAACUGACACGGGUUGACCUUCAACUAGUUGAUUCGAGUCAACAUUUGGUUGGAUCAACACAUUCAACCUUUAAUCCUAACCAACUCGGCUCAAACUUCUACACUAACCGACUUAGCUCAACCUUUGGCCUUCAUCGCUUGGCCCAAGCCAACUCAACCCACAUUUGGCUCAAGCUGACUCGACUUUAUUCUUCUGUCCAACCAACUCAAGUCGACCUUUGGCCCAGACCGACUAAGGUUGACCUUUGUCCUAAUUGACUCAGGUUAACCUUCAAUUUAGGUUGACUUGUCUCAACCUUUUCUUAGACUGACUUAGGUUGACUUUCAGUUUGGGUCAACUUGUCUCAAUUUUUGGUCUAAUCAAACACAACUCAAUUUUUUGACCUUUAAUCUACAGUUUGGACCUUCUUUUCUCAACUUUUUUAUCUGAACUAAUUUGAUUUAACUUAACUUUCGAUUCAGACUUACUUAAAUCAACUUUUAGCUUAAAUUAAUUAUUUUGCUUUUUUUUUUCUUUUGGUCUUGUAUAUUUUUUUUAUGUGAACAUUUUCCACUUGUGAACAUUUUAUUUUUUACUAUAAAUAAAUAAAUGUAUGUGUUAAACCAAAUUGACACGGUCUAAACAUUACAGAGAUAUAAAUGGUAAAUAAAUUUAAAUUAUUAAAUAUCAUUUAAAUAUUUAUAUUUAAAUAAUAUUUUUUAUAACUUUUAACUUUAACAUAGUUUAAAAUAAAAUUUUAUUUUAAAAGAAGAAUUCAAUUAUUUUAUCUAAACAAGAAAAUUAAAAUAUAAAAUAUUUUAAUUACUCUAUUCAAAUAUUAAAAAUAAAAAAAUUACAAGUAACUCAAAUAUAAUAAAUUUUAAUCUAAAAUCUAUCAUUCAAACCAAGGGCCUUCAAAGUGAGGAGUGGUCUCAAGUGGAGGAUUUUCUUUAUAAAUAAGAGUUUAUAGAUAAGUGAAGGACGGGAAAUGAGGAUUUUAAAGACAGUGGUAGUGUGUUAUUAUAAAUUUAAAAAAAGAAAACAUUGAUUGAAGAAAAUUAUUAUCGGCGAUUUUGAACUUCAAAAUAUAAAAAUAAAAUAAAGGAAACUAUAUUAUUUUGGACGGAGGGUGACAUUUGAAUGUUUUGAAAAAAAUAAAAAUACAGGAAACUAUAUUGAAUUUUAUAAAUAAAUAAAAGAUAAAAAAUAUAAUUUAAUGAUAUAUUUUAAUUUUUGUAUAUCUCGUUUAAUUUUGAAUUAUUUUUUAUUUAUUUUCAUACCAUCUAACAAUAGUAAUUAAAUAGAUGUUAUAUUUAUUCUAACCAUGCAUCAAACAAUUUUAAUAAAAUGAAUUAAACAAAAAACAAUACUGAUAGUAUGAUUGAAAAAACACUAUUCGAAAGAAGAAAAGGAACAGAAACAAAAACCGAUAGAAAAUGCAAAGGUAAAAUUAAUAAAAACGCAUUAAUAAUAAAUCAAUAAUAAUAUUAUUUAUUAGUAAAGAAUACAAAAAUAACUUCUUAUUCCUCACUAACACCUAAAAUAAAUAAUUCGGUAUAUAAAUUCUGUAAAAUCUCUUUCUCUCUGUUAUACAUGAACAGUAUAAAUCAACAAACAAAUCAAUACUUUCCACAUGGAAUCAAGGAAAAUUCAGAAUCAUCAGAUUAAUUCAGUGCUUGAAGAUGGCGAGCAUUGAAAGAACAACCGAAGCUCCAAUCACGGCCAUGGAGCUGGAAACGGAUCCGGCAGCUCCGGCGUCGGGUCCUGGUGCGGGUGCCGGCGACAGAUCUUGAGCGGAGGCGACGGCAAAGAAAAGAGCCACGACGAGCACGACGGCGAAGGAGAAUGUCUGAGAUGCCAUGGCUAGAGAGAGUUUGGAGAGAGAAAGAGAAUAGAAUUCAAAGGUGUAAUGAGGCUCUGUUUUAUUUUGUGAUAUCAGAUCGGAGAAGGUGGUGGUAUUUAUAGUGGGUGUGGAAAGGCGCGUGGGGCCCACGGAACGUGGACAGCUGUGCGGUGUGAUGUAUUGAGGUGUGAAUGAAUGGAAGUGAGUUGUGAGAAAGUUGUUUUUGCUUUUGUGUGUUUGGUUGGUUAAACGACAUUGUCGCUUAUUCUGUCGGUUUCAACAUUUAUCGUGGAACCCGUCAUCUACGCUGUUGUGUACUUUUUUUUCGAGACUCAGACUAACGUUGUUUAGUACCGUUGGAUAUAUUUCUUUUAAAUAAAAUUACUUAAUUUUCUUUUUAUUUUUAAUUUGGUUUAAUGAUUAUCUCUAUUUUCGGUGACUUUUAAUUAGGUUCCUCAUUUUUUCUUUUUCUCAAUUGGUCCCUAUUUUUGAAAAAUUGAAACAAUUAGGUCACUGUCAUUAGUUCCGCUCUAAUACCGUUAAAAAGGGUGACACGUGUCAGCUCAUGAUUUUUUUGAAUUUUUUAAAUAUAUUUUUUAAUUAUUUUUAUUUUUAUUUUUUAUUUUUAUUCUUUUAAAAAUAAAAUUUGCCACGUGUCAAGUUGAUAUUGUGCCACGUAGUAGUGACAGUGUGAGGUGGCACUGAUAGUGCCACGUGUCACUGAUAGUGCCACGUGUCACUGACAGUGACACGUGUCAUUGCGUUUGUUUCAAUUUGGUUCUUGUAUUUUUAUUUUGUUCCAAUUUGGUCCUUGUAUUUUUAUUUUGUCUCAAUUUAGUCCUAAUUUUUUUAAAAAUUUAAAAAAGAUUUGUUCGUUCCCAAAUAAAAUACGGUAUGUACAUUUUCCAAAUUUUUGUCUUUAAAUUUAUUUUUGUUAAGCAAAUUAUUAGUAAUGAUGUAUUUCAAAUCAAAAUAUUUAACUCUAGAAACUUUUUAUGAAUUAAGUAUUGAGACCAUGCUUGUGUAGAUUACAUUCACAAAAAUAUUUAUUAUUGAGAUGUUAACUUUUAUAGGUUACUCAUUCAUAUUAUUUAGGUUAAAUGAUUUCUUUAUUACUAUAUAAAUAAAAAUGUGUCAUAUGUUAGUUUGUAAAUUUUUUUAUUUUUCUAAUAAAAAAAUUAAUUUGUACAAAUUUCUUUGUAAAAAUUUAUAUACAAAUAAAAAUAAAAUUUUGUUUGAACUUGGAGAGAAACAAAAUUGUUUAGUUUUUUUAAAAAAAAAGGACUAAAUUAAGACAAAAUAAGAAUAUAGGGACCAAAUUGAGACAAAUUAAAAAUAUAGGGACCAAAUUAAGACAAAUCUAAUGACACGUGGUCUAAUAGUGACACGUGGCACUAUCAGUGCCACCUCACAUUGUCAUUGUCACGUGGUUCAAUGUCAACUUGACACGUGGCAUUUUUUUUAAAUAAAUAAAAAAAUUAAAAAUAAAAAUAAAAAUAAUUAAAAAUAUAUUCAAAAAAUUCACGAGCUGACACAUGUCACCCUUUUUAACGGUGUUAGUACGGAACUAACGACAAUGACCUAAUUGCUUCAAUUUUUCACAAAUAGGGACCCAAUUGAGAAAAGAAAAAUGAGGGACCUAAUUAAAAAAAUCACCGAAAAUAGGGACUAUGAGGAUGACUAAACCUUUUAAUUUUUCAAAGUACGAGGUGAUAAAAGAAAAAUAGUAAAACUAAAGAAAAAGAAUAAAAAAAAUAGGUUUAAACUUCUUUUUGGUCCCUAAGUUAUGAGCAGAUGUUCAGUUUAGUCCUCGCUUUUAAAAGUGUAAAUCUUUGGUUCCUAAGUUAUAAAAAAUGUAUCAAAUAAGUCCUUUUAGCAGUUGUUAAGAAACAAUCAAAAACAGUAUUUCAAGUAAAAAAAGGACUCAUUUGAUACAUUUUUUAUAACUUAGGGACCAAAUAUUUACAUUUUUAAAAACGAGGACUAAACUGAACAUCCGCUUAUAACUUAGGGACGAAAAAGAUGUUUAAACCAAAAAAAUAUCAUCCAUUAAAACAUUCAACGUUUUAAAAUAGGUUUCUUGUAAUGGGAGAAAUGGCUUUCCAUCCUUGCUUGACCUUUUCAGUUAAUUAGUCAAGUUAACGUUUUACUAAUUUAUUACAAACAAAAUUGAAAGAAAUAAAAUAGAAAUACAGAUUGCUUAUUGUUGAAGAAAAAAAUAAUUCACAAAAGAAAUAAAAAUUAAAUUGAUUAAUUAAAAAAAAUUAAUAGGUGAUAAAUAAAUUAAAAAUAAAAAUGUUUUGACAAAAUACGGAUAUGUUAAAUGGUCAUUACACAAAAUUAGGAGUAACGAUCGAAAUCAUGCUGAGUCCAUAGUCAAUGUCACUUAUGACAUUAGGAUUAUUUCAACUUAGUUAGGUAUAGUUUUUCAUUGAAAAAAUUAUUCGACCUGAAACGCGGUUUUGUUUAGGUUAAAUUUAACCUAAAAUUAAAACAGUUUUGCUUUAUAUUUUGUUUUGAAUUGCUAUUUGUGAUUUUUUUUAUCAUAAAAAUGUUAGAAAUUUAUUAAAAGAAUGCUAGAUAUUUUUAUUAGUAAAUAAAGAUUAAUUUUGUUUUAUUAGUAAUUAAGCGUCAGUUUAGUUUUUAAUUUGGCAUUUAAAUAUUAUGGUCAAAUAUUGAUCUAUUAUUUAGGGAUAUAGUGGAGAGUCUGUUUGAAAAACUGUCCACGUGCAUAGUCAGUUUUUCUUUUGUUAUAGAGUUGUUUCUUUGCUACUGUAAGGCUAUAAAGCCUAUCAUCUGUUAUUUGAAUUAAUAAGAGAGUGUUUUUCCACCCAAAAGCAGAGAGUUCUUUACGUGUUUACAAUUGGUAUCAGAGCUCCUUCAUAGGGGCCUGAACCAGAAAGUUACGUGUGAGAGAAACUGAAACACCUAGAGAGAGAACACUGAGUUGUGAGUGUUAAAAGAAAUCAACUUAGAGAUGGCUGAAACAGUGAAGUAUGUUCAACCAGCUAUUCCAAAAUUUGAUGGCCAUUAUGAACAUUGGGCCAAGUUGAUGGAAAAUUUCUUACGUUCCAAUGAAUAUUGGGACUUAGUGGAAAAAGGUAUUGAUGUGGUACCAGACACAGAAGAAGCCUCAGAAUAUGAUAUCAAAAAAAUGGAAGUACAGCAGCUCAAGGACUUAAAGAUCAAAAAUUAUCUCUAUCAAGCAAUUGAUAGGGAAAUUUUGGACACCAUCUUAAAUGACGAAACAUCCAAGGAUAUAUGGGAUUCCAUGAAGCAAAAAUUUCAGGGGUCAACAAGGGUGAAAAGAGCUCAACUACAAGCUCUACGCAAGGAUUUUGAGACUUUGNAGAUGAAGGAAGGAGAAUCAGUAAACUCCUAUUUUGCANGGACCUUAAAAAUUGCAAAAAGCAUGAAGGCAUGUGGAGAAAGUAUGCGGGAGAAUAUUAUUGCUGCAAAAAUUUUACGGUCCAUGCUUCCGAAAUUUAAUUAUGUUGUGUGCUCGAUUGAAGAAUCAAAUAACUUGGACACUAUGACGAUCGAUGAACUNCAGAGCAGCCUUUUAGUUCAUGAGCAAAGGAUGAUGGGUCAUGACGAAGCAGACCAGGCACUGCAAAUUAUCCAUGAAGACAGGAGAGGAAGAGGUCAGGGAAGAGGAAGAGCAAGAGGACGAGUUUUUUUUCGUGGCAGAGGAAGAGGAAAACAGUCCUUCAACAAAGCUGAAAUUGAAUGUUUCAAAUGUCACAAAUUUGGACAUUUUCAAUAUGAAUGUCCUGCCUGGGAGAAAAAUUUAAAUUAUGCAGAGGUGGAAGAAAAAGNCGUCCAGGAGGAUGAACUCNUGCUAAUGACUUAUUUUGAGUUGAAGCAAGGAACAACAGAGGAAUGGUUUCUUGACUCUGGGUGCAGUAACCAUAUGAGUGGUAACAAAGAGUGGUUUUCAGAAUUAGAUGAGAACUUUAGACAUGCAGUAAAACUUGGCAAUGACACAAGAAUAGNUGUAAUGGGGAAAGGAAGUGUUCGGUUGAAUGUUAAUGGAGCCAUACAUGUAAUCUCACAUGUGUACUACGUUCCAGAAUUGAAGAACAAUUUAUUAAGCAUAGGACAACUCCAAGAAAAAGGCUUGUCCAUAAAGAUUCAGAAUGGGAAGUGUAAAGUCUCUCAUCCUGAGAGAGGACAGAUUAUGGAAAUAGAUAUGAAGGAAAAUAGAAUGUUUAUUNUGAAAGCUACCAAGGCACCUUUAAAUUCAACAUGUUUCCAGAUAGAACUGGAGGAAGGGACACAACUUUGGCACAACCGAUUUGGUCACUUAAGUUAUAGUGGUCUGAAAACACUUUUCUCCAAACAAAUGGUGAAUGGACUGCCUGCUNUCACAGUUCCAAGAGAGCUUUGUACACACUGUUUGGCUGGGAAGCAGCACCGAAAUCCUAUGCCCAAGAAAANUCUAUGGAGAGCAUAAAAAAGGCUUCAACUUGUGCAUUCAGAUUUAUGUGGACCUAUCAAUCCAAUAUCAAACAGCAACAAAAGGUAUAUUCUGAGUUUUAUAGAUGAUUUCUCCCGAAAAAUUUGGCUUUAUUUCUUGAAUGAAAAAUCAGAAACCUUUUUACACUUUAAAAGAUUCAAGGUGCUGGUUGAAAAAGAAGNUGGUGUAAGCAUUGGAUGUUUAAGGACAGAUAGAGGAGGAGAAUUCACUUCAAAUGAAUUUGGUGAUUUUUGUAAAAGCCACGNCAUACGUAGGCAGUUAACUGCAGCCUACACACCUCAGCAAAAUGGAGUUGCUGAAAGGAGGAACAUAACAAUUAUGAACAUGGUGCGAUCUAUGCUGAUUGGAAAACAAGUUCCCAAAAUAUUUUGGGCUGAAGCUGCUAGGUGGUGUGCUCAUAUUCUCAACAGAAGUCCUACAACAAUAGUGAAAGACAAAACUCCUGAAGAAGUAUGGAGUUGAGUGAAGCCUACUGUUGAUUACUUUCGAGUAUUUGGAUGUUUGGCUCAUGUGCAUAUAGCAGAUCANCAUCGAGUGAAAUUAGAUGAUAAAAGCAAGAAAUGUGUUUUAUUAGGAGUAAGUGAUGAAUCCAAGGCAUNUCGGUUGUUUGAUCCUGUCAACAAAAGAAUUUUAAUUAGCAGAGAUGUGGUUUUUGAGGAGCAAAAAGGUUGGGAUUGGAAGCAGAAUGCAGAAGAAUGUCAACAUGAUAUUUUAGAAUGUAGAGGUAAUGAAGAAUAUGUGAGUGACUCUAAAGAGCUNUUUGAAGAAAACAAUGUGGAAAAUACUNGUGCUCAAGAAAUCACAGAUCAAACUGANGAUGNUGAGAACAAUUNUGCAAGUCAAACUGAAGAUGCUGAAAACANAAACAGUUCUGCAGGUACUGAUAUUUAUCCUAAUAAUUCUCAUAUUAUUAAUUAUGAGACUUCAGUUGCAGGGAGGGCUAGAAGGAAUAGGAGUGAACCAGUUUGGAUGAAAGAUUANGAAACAGGAGAAGGUCUUUUAGAUGAUAAUGACCUAAAUGUAAUGGUGGUCACCGAAGAUGACCCAAUCUCCUUUGAGGAAGCCAUUAAGAGUGAGAAUUGGAGAAAUGCUAUGGUGAAAGAAAUGGAAUCAAUAGAGAAAAACAUGACUUGGGAGCUGACUGACCUGCCAAUAGGAGUAAAGCCAAUUGGAGUCAAAUGGAUCUUUAAAANCAAGUUUAAAGAAACUGGAGAGAUAGACAAGUUCAAAGCCAGGCUAGUAGCUAAAGGGUAUNUUCAACAAUAUGGAGUGGAUUACACCGAGGUAUUUGCUCCCGUGGCCAGACUUGACACAAUUCGUUUAAUUCUUGCUGUAGCAGCCCAAUAUAGCUGGAAUGUGUUUCAGCUAGAUGUGAAGAGUGCAUUUCUUCACGGUGAACUUAAGGAGGAGAUAUAUGUACAACAACCAGAUGGAUUUGUGAAAANAGGUGAAGAAGAGAAGGUGUACAAAUUAAGAAAGGCACUUUAUGGCCUUAAACAAGCACCGAGAGCUUGGUACAACAAGAUAGAGGCUUAUUUUGUUCGAAAUGAAUUUGAUAGAUGUCUUUGUGAACAUACACUGUUUACAAAAUCAAAGGAGGGAGGUAAAAUUCUAAUUGUAAGUCUUUAUGUGGAUGAUUUGAUAUAUANAGGAAAUGAUGAGAAUAUGUGUGAUGAGUUUAAAAGAUCCAUGAUGAUAGAAUUUGAUAUGUCAGAUUUAGGAAAAAUGAGGUACUUUCUUGGUAUUGAAGUGAUACAGAAUUCAAGUGGAAUCUUUAUAUGUCAGAAGAAAUAUGCUCAGGAAGUGUUGUCACGUUUUGGCAUGGAAAAUUGUAAUCCAGUUAAGAAUCCAANUGUUCCAGGAACAAGAUUGUCAAAAAAUGAUGCAGGUUCCAAGGUNGAUGCAACUUUGUUCAAACAAGUUGUUGGCAGUCUUAUGUAUUUGACUGCAACUCGGCCAGAUUUAAUGUAUGGAGUAAGCUUGAUCANCAGAUUUAUGUCUAACCCCACUGAAUCUCACUGGUGUGCAGCCAAAAGAAUAUUAAGGUACUUGAAGGGAACAACUGAGCUAGGCAUCCAUUAUAAGAAGGGAGGAAAUACAGAGAUUGUAGCAUACUCCGACAGUGAUUUUGCUGGGGAUAUAGAUGACAGAAGAAGUACUUCAGGAUCUGUAUUUUUAUUUGGCUCUGGAGCAGUCUCAUGGUCCUCAAAGNAACAAUCAAUAGUCACAUUAUCCACCAUAGAAGCAGAAUAUAUAGUUGUUGCCUCUUGUGCUUGUCAAUGCAUUUGGAUUCAAAGGGUGUUGGAGAAGCUGAAUUUUAAAGAACANAAGAACACAUUGAUCCUAUGUGACAACAGUUCCAUGAUACAGUUAUCAAAGAAUCCAGUGUUUCAUGGGAGGAGCAAACACAUAGACAUUAAAUUUCAUUUUUUAAGAGACUUGGUGAAAGAAGGAACUAUCAUGUUAAGUUACUGCCGCUCAGAAGUUCAAGUUGCUGAUAUAAUGACCAAGCCACUCAAGUUAGAGCAAUUUUCAAAGUUGAGGAAGAUGUUAGGCAUGUUGGAAGCUUCAGAAAUAAACUAAAUGCUACUGCNUAUAGUUUAAGGGAGGGAAUAUUAGUAAAUAAAGAUUAAUUUUGUUUUAUUAGUAAUUAAGCGUCAGUUUCAGUUUUUAAUUUGGCAUUUAAAUAUUAUGGUCAAAUAUUGACCUAUUAUUUAGGGAUAUAGUGCAGAGUCUGUUUAGAAAACUGUCCACGUGCAGAGUCAGUUUUUCUUUUGUUAUAGAGUUGUUUCUUUGCUACUGUAAGGCUAUAAAGCCUAUCAUCUGUUAUUUGAAUUAAUAAGAGUGUUUUUCCACCCAAAAGCAGAGAGUUCUUUACGUGUUUACAAUUUUAUGGUAGAUAUUUAUUAAAUAAAAAAUUAUAUAUAUAUAUAUAUAUAUAUAUAUAUAUAUAUAUAUAUAUAUAUAAUCACUCCACUUAAUUAGGUAAUCACAAAUUAAGAGGUAGAAUUAGGAAGACAUGUUGAAAUGUUGAAAAGACAUAUUUAGAGGUUCCAAAUACAUGUUAAAAGAUUAGUAAGAAUUUCACAUGACAUUGUGUAAUUUCAUUAUAUUUUUAGGUCAAAUAAGUGGUCUUUAGCGGUAUUCAAUUUAAUACAAUAUUUUAAAUUGAAUUAAUAUUUUUGGUAAGGUAUUAAACAAAUGGUCCAUAUCAGCAUUGAAUUACAUAAUGUUUUCCUUAUAGCCUUGACAUUGAAUAGAAUAAAAUAUAGCAUAUCAUACAUGUGAUCCUUAACGCAUUCAAUUAAAUACAAUAUUUUUAAUCAUAUAAGUGCACCACAACAAGAAAGUGGUCCACUAUAACUGAGCCCCAUAGUAAUAUGUUUCAUAAGUGGGUGACAACUUUUUCUUUUUUCCAAAUUUAAAUAAAAUAAGCUACAAAAAACAUCUACUGCAUUACCAUAUGAGGUGUACAAAGGCUGUGAUGUUACUAGCUUAAGACCCUAAAACUUGUGUCAUCGUACUUCUUAUGCAUCUUAUUGUUGUUGUUGUCGUUGUUGGUUUGUUACUUAGUACAACCAUAGGUGUAGAUACAUCCACUCCUAGUUGUUGCAGUUGCUACAUCUGACCUAUUGUCAUCCUUAAUCAUUACCCACAUUUGAAGGCAAAUAAUCAUUAAUGUAUUCUACAUUUAUUUCAUGUUCUCAAACUUCUUUAAUAGCACAAAUGACCCUUCACCAACAUUUGUUCUAUUCCUAACUGCUUUUUUUAUUUUAUUUUUAAUCUUUUCCACUUAACCAAUACAGGACGAAUAUUUCCACGAUGUGGAUCAUCUACAACCCUUUCACUGGCCAUCCCAAAGCCAUCAUCAUCAUUUGCAACCCUCUCUUCUUCAUUGUCAUCAAGUUUAUCUACAACUGAUCCUUCUUCUUCCUCAUCCUUAGCAAUGCCACCUUUUUUAGGCCUAUUAACAUUUUCUUCAUGCAAAUUCACCUCUUCUUUAGGCCCAUUAACCUUUUCUUUAGGCCCAUUCACCUUUUCUUUAGACGCAUUCAGUUAUUCUCCAUUCACAUUUAUCUCUACUUCAAGCGCACUCAAUUCUUCUUCAGACACAUUCAACUUUUCAUCCCUAACAUCUUCAUUCACCUCUUCAUCUACAACCUCUUCUUGUCCCGCCUCUUCACCACCACUCCCUCCACUCCAUUAAUAUCAAAGAAAUUAAUUACUUUAGCUUGACUAGAAAAAUGUUGAACACAUAUAUCAAUUUCGUUGUUAUUAACCUCUACUUACUUAAUUGAGUAUAUUGAUUUCGUAGCAUUCCUCAAUAGUCUUAUAUUAUUGUGAAAUGUUUGUUUUGAGCCCUUCCACCAAAGUUUUACAUCACAUAUAUUUUUGAACUCUUUAACUAUUCUCAAUGUUUCAAAGUAUGAUCAUCGAUGAGGAUCAAUUUCUUAAACUACAUGUAUUUCCCCACCAAUGUAUUUUAGUCUCCUAUUCUUUUAGAACUUGCCCAUACGAUGAAAAGCAACAUUAAACCCCAUUUCAAAACCUAUAUCUUAAAUCACAACUCAAAAUCAAACAACCAUAACCCUAAACUCACUCAACAUUGCACAAAAAAUAAAAUCAAUUUACUCGGACAAACCUUUUGAAUGCAAACUCUAGAAAUUACAAUUCUUCUCGUCUUUGUUAAUUCUAACACAAAUCCCACAGGUCUUCUUUUCUUCGUUAAUUCUAACAUACAUUUCUUAAGAAAACUAAACCUUAAUUUCAUUUUAUUUUGAAACCUUAAUAAUGUAAUUAUAAACUAUUUUAUUUUCCAAUUAUAAUACGUGUCUUAAAAAAGUUGGAAAUAUGACACAUCGUUUUUCGUGUAAAAAAGUUAACGUAUUAGUAGUGAAACACUAAAUCCGGGACUUUCUUAAAGAACAGAACUAGAAAUAGAACAAAGUUUAAAAAUGAACAAAAACAGAAAACAAAUGAUAAUUUAGAGAAAAAAAAUAAUUAACCCUCAAUAAAUUAAAUAAUUAAGAAAGAUAAUAAAAAUUAUUAAAUAAAAGACAAUUUUUUUAAAUGAAACAAAAUAAAUAACAAAAAAAAAACUGGGAAAAUGAAUUUUAUACAUUACUUAAUAUAUUAAGAAUGAUUUAGUAAUUUAAGUUAAAAAUAAAGAUAAAUAUAAGUGAAGUAGCUGACCAUCCUCAUAUUAUUCACAUUUAUAUGUUUUCUUUUGUUCGUGUAAAUGAAUUUACUUAUCAUUAUUGUGAAGAGAAAAAAGAGAGAGACACACGCUAAGUUUUGUACCUUAAUUAAGAAGGAAAAAAAUAUAUAAGAGAGUGAGUUAGGUUAGUUCAAUUAUAAAACUUAAUUAGGAUUUAAGAAACGAAAAUAGAAACAGCGUAAUUACAGGGAGAACUAAACGACGGGCUGAACGGGAAAAUCUGAAAAGCAGAGAAGAAGCAAUAAUUUCGGCUUCUUUAGCCAUACCAAACGCUCCCUUAUGGCCCACAAGCGUUUUCACAACACUAUAAAUACCAGCACCCUCUUUUCAUUCCUACAUCACAGAAUAAAAGAGAAAACCUCACUGCACCUUCAACCCUUGUUUCUUCCUUCUCUUUCUUUCUGCACUUUCUGUAGCCAUGGCAUCUCAAGUCAACUUCUUCCUCGUUGCUCUCAUCGCAACACUUUUCUUCGCCGUGGCCACCGCUCAAGAAUUGUCUCCGGCCCCGGCACCGGGACCUGAUGCCGGAGCAGGCGCUUCCGUGUCAAGCUCCAUGGCCGUGAUCGGAGCUUCGAUUGUGGUUUCAGUGUUCGCGAUAUUGAAGCAGUGAGUUUACUGGAACGGUGAUCUGAUUGCGAUUGUGUCUUAUGGAAAGAGAGAAAGAGAUUAUGAUACGAUGUAACGUGAACCAUUCAUUGUAGGUGUCGGUGAGAUGUAACAGGGAUUUUUAAUCCCUUUUAUCUUUCAUCCAUUUUUUUUAUUCAUUAAUUAAUAUAUAUUUUUCUAAUUCUUUAUAAUUAAUCAUUACUUUUCAAAAUUUAUUACUUGGUAAUUAAUUUUAGUUUUAUACUAAUUUUUUUUUUCUAUUAUGUCAUAUUUCCAAACAGUUUAUCUGAACUUCAGUCUUUUAAGAGGGGAAAAUUUGAAAAAUGCGAUCAAUACGGGAAAUUUGUAAAAUGAGUUUAAUUGUUAAAACGUGAAAUUCUAAUAUAUAAAAAUAUAAUUGAUUAGAUGAAAAGAUUGUUUUAAUUUAUUAAAGUUGGGUAAUAGAUUAGUUUUGUU
rnacentral:lncRNA from 1 species